UUUCCCUACGGGAGGCAGCAGUGAGGAAUAUUGGUCAAUGGCCGGAAGGCUGAACCAGCCAAGCCGCGUGAGGGAGGAAGGCGCAGAGCGCCGCAGACCUCUUUUGCCGGGGGACAAAAGGCCGGACUCGUCCGGUCCUGAGGGUACCCGGAGAAAAAGCAUCGGCUAACUCCGUGCCAGCAGCCGCGGUAAUACGGAGGAUGCGAGCGUUAUCCGGAUUUAUUGGGGUUAAAGGGUGCGCAGGCGGGCCUU
rnacentral:rRNA from 1 species